GAUGAACACUGGCGGCGUGCCUAAUACAUGCAAGUCGAGCGAAUGGAUUAAGAGCUUGCUCUUAUGAAGUUAGCGGCGGACGGGUGAGUAACACGUGGGUAACCUGCCCAUAAGACUGGGAUAACUCCGGGAAACCGGGGCUAAUACCGGCUAAAAUUUUGAACCGCAUGGUGCGAAAUUGAAAGGCGGCUUCGGCUGUCACUUCAGGAUGGACCCGCGUCGCAUUAGCUAGGUGGUGAGGUAACGGGUCACCAAGGCAACGAGGCGUAGCCGACCUGAGAGGGUGAUCGGCCACACUGGGACUGAGACACGGCCCAGACUCCUACGGGAGGCAGCAGUAGGGAAUCUUCCGCAAUGGACGAAAGUCUGACGGAGCAACGCCGCGUGAGUGAUGAAGGCUUUCGGGUCGUAAAACUCUGUUGUUAGGGAAGAACAAGUGCUAGUUGAAUAAGCUGGCACCUUGACGGUACCUAACCAGAAAGCCACGGCUAACUACGUGCCAGCCGCCGCGGUAA
rnacentral:rRNA from 1 species